rnacentral:lncRNA from 1 species
UUGAGUGUUUCCUAGAUUGUCCGUUGGCAUCUAGUUGUGAUUUCUUUUCCCAUUCAUCGUCAUUGCGAUGUCUGGAUGUGGCCGUACCUUUUGAAAACACAAAAAAACAAAAAUACCCAGUAAUAAGAAUCAAACCCCAGUGGACGUUUCCGUUGGUGGAUUCCAGUCGGUGCAAAUUUCUACGGUUCUUAGUAUUCAAUCCCUGGUUACCCUGAAAGUCUGAC